AAACGAAAGGAAAGUGUGGGCAGAAAAUUCGUAGAACAAGCUUAUCCUAGCACGAGCCGAAUCAUGCCUAGCGCUGCCUAGUUUAAGUAUGGCCCAAAAAGCAGGCAGUCUAUUUCAAGCCAUAAAUUACUGCGGUGGAGUGAGAGGACAGCCCUCGAUGCCGAUAGGCGGGUAUUGUACAUACAUAUCCAAGUAAUAAAAA